CAAUAGCGUAUAUUAAAGUUGUUGCGGUAAAAAAGCUCGUAGUUGGAUUUCUACCGAAGAUAGCCGGUCGGGUCUUCGACCUUGUAUCUGAUUUUGUCUUUGGUAUCCUCAUAGGGAACGUUUCUGCGCUUUAUUGCGUGGUGCGGUAUCUAUGACUUUUACUUUGAGGAAAUUAGAGUGUUCACGGCAGGCAAACGCCUUGAAUAUAUUAGCAUGGAAUAAUAACAUAGGAUCUUCGUCCUAUUUUGUUGGUUUCUAGGGCUAAGAUAAUGAUUAAUAGGGAUAAUUGGGGGCAUCUGUAUCAACGCGUCAGAGGUGGAAUUCUUGGAUUGCGUUGCGACAAACUACUGCGAAAGCAUUUGCCAAGGAUGUUUUCAUUGA
rnacentral:rRNA from 1 species